AAUCUUCCGCAAUGGACGAAAGUCUGACGGAGCAACGCCGCGUGAGGGAAGAAGGUCUUCGGAUCGUAAAACCCUGUUGCUAGGGAAGAACAAGUAUCGUUCGAUUAGGGCUGUAGCUUGACGGUAACUACCAGAAAGCCACGUCUAACUACGUGCCAGCAGCCGCGGUAAAACGUAGGUGGGAAGCGUUAUACGGAAUUCUUGGGCGUAAAGCGCGCGCAGGCGUUUUCUUAAGUCUGAUGUGAAAGCCGCCGGCUCAACCGUGGAGGGUCAUUGGAAACUGGGAAGCUUGAGUGCAGAAGAGGAGAGUGGAAUUCCAUGUGUAGCGGUGAAAUGCGUAGAGAUAUGGAGGAACACCAGUGGCGAAGGCGACUCUCUGGUCUGCAACUGACGCUGAGGCGCGAAAGAGUGGGGAGCGAACA
rnacentral:rRNA from 1 species